rnacentral:lncRNA from 1 species
AUUAUAACACAUGCCAUAACUUUGUUCUAUUUACAGAUCGCAACUGUUGAAAAAUGCCAAGAGGAGGCGCACUUAAACAGGAAGCACAUGUAACUGAAGAGAACAAUAAAAAAAGGUUGGCAGGCAUGCGAAACAAACGAUGAGAAAGAACAUGAACAAGCGAAAUAAACUUUCCUAAUGCAUAUCUGGCAAUUGCUAUUUUCUUUUGACAAAAAGCCGUUAUAAAAACCAAUAUGCAAUAAAAAUUGUUAUAUUCUUCUGCAUUCUUUAAAGACUCGUGGAGUCAUGCAUCUUUGUGUUAUCGGUUAACUGGCUUCUUUUUUUCGAUGAUAUAAGUACUGUAAGUAUCUUUGAAACUCAGAACCUACAAAAAAAUGAAUUACGAAAGAGUAAUGGCAUUACAUCUAUCGCAAGUACAUAACGAACUUGAUCCUAUUACUAGUUAAAAGAAUUCUACGUGCAGGUGUCUCUCAAGUCGCGACAACGACUUUCUAUUUAAGUCUGUUUGGAAACUUCCUGGGCCUUUUAGUUAACAAAGCUAUUUGAAGAAUAAUUUUUUUUAAAAAAAUUUACGCUGACAAAAGAAAAAUUUUCUUUCUUUGAUAUGAGAUGUUAAAAAUACUUUCAUGAGAAACCUACUACAUACUUUCAUAAACUUCAAUACUUUAGUUAUGGAACAGAAUACAUAUAAUUCUUAAUUUAUACAACUUUGACACAUUUCUUUAUUCUUUGUAUAAAUGCCGUUGCUCUAUUGUAAUCGAAGUAAACACCGUUACUUUUUACAGUAAUCAACAUCACUAUAAGCAUUCUUUUAAUGUAUUUUGAUUUCUCAAAUAAAUCUUUCCUAUUUUUCUAA